CUGGUUCCGGCCCGGAUUUAAUCCGGACCGAAAUCCGGAUCGCAAAAUCCAAAUCUAUGCGGUCCGGGUACGGAUUUAGAAUCCGAGUACCGGAUUAAAAACCCGGUACUCGGUUUCAUUUAUUUAUUUUACCCCGGCUACAUAUCCAGCCCCCUUCUCUCUCUCUCUCUCUCUCUCUCUCUCUCUCUCUCUCUCUCUCUCUCUCUCUCUCUCUCUCGUUCAUCUAAGAGUGAAACCCUAGCCGCCGCUAAUCCUUUCCUCAGUCUCUCUCGCUCUCAUCAGUCGUGGGGGCCUUCUCCAGGAAGUAAAGCCUUCUCCAGUUGAAAUGUCGUCCCAAGAUAAUAAAAGAUUUUCCAAGAGAUCUCAUUUCAUUGAAGAGGGCCCAAGUGCUAUCCUUUUACAUUGGUGGACCUGAUCUGUCCUUGAAUCUUGUUCAACAGGUUCUACCCAAAAAUGAAGAAGAAAAUUUCAUAUAUGGCAUGCUUGCUUUUCCUUUGCUGGAGCUUAACCAAAUGGCAGAUGCUGAGAAAGCUGCAAAAAAGGGAUUUGAGAUCAAUGGGCAAGAUUACUGGGCACAACAUGCCCUGUGCCAUGUUCUACAGUAUGAGUGCCGGUUUGAAGAAGCAGUACAGUUCAUGGAAGGAUGCUCAUCUUCUUGGAGGUCUUGUUCUUCAUUUAUGCUGACACAUAAUUGGUGGCAUGUAGCUCUUUGUUACUUGGAAGCUGGUUCUCCAAUUCAAAGAGUCUUAGAAAUAUAUGAUAAUUGUAUUUGGAAGGAAUUGGAAAAAAGUGAUGCUGUGGGUCCUGAGGUGUGCUAUUUUGUGUAAUUUGAAUAAAAUCCACUCUCUUUUUGUCGUU